rnacentral:lncRNA from 1 species
CAGCGCAGGAGCUCUCAGACUACCUCAGAUGCCAAGAGCCUGGUUUGAAUACAAGCCUUGCCAUUGUGUGACUUUGGGCCAGUGUUUCCAGCCAUCAUGUCAGAGCUGAGUGGAGUGGCACUGGGUGCCAAGGCAAACACCCAGCCCAGCUGUGCUGGGAAGAACUGAGCUCCAAUGUGUCUUGUGACCCAGCUCCUCCCACCCACCUGGCUGUGUCUCCUAUCCUGCAGAGAUUUCUGGGGGCUGUUUCCAGUAAACAGAGUGCCAGCACCCACUAACCUGUAAAUAGCACCUUGUUCAGGGGGAGUGAUAUUCUUUGACUGUAUGAUUUGGGGCCUUGCUGCUCAAAAUGUGGUCAGCAGCAUUGACAUCACCUGGGAUCUCAUUACAAAUGCAGAAUCUCAGACCUCACUCCAGAUGUGCUGGAUGAGAAUGGCCAUUUUCACAAGCUCCCCAGGAUAUGUGUGCCUGUUAAAGUUUGAGAAGCACUGAUCGGAGGACUUCGGUUAUAAUCCCACCUCCUUCUAUAAGUGAUUAAAGAAAAUUCACUUAUACUCUCCUUUGAACAGCUGUAUGCUUCUCAAUUUCUCUCUCUCUCUCUCUCUCUCACACACACACACACACACACACACUUUAUUUUUCAAUCUCUAUAGACUUGCUUCUUUGUAAGGCUCUCAAUUUCUCCUCCCCAGUGACACAAGCUUGCAUGUGGAUAUAGCUCGUCAUGGUGCCUAUUUAUCUUCAACUUUAUGCAACCUUAGCACUCUUUUACUCAGAAACCUUUUGACUGGGAGAGCAGGGCAAACUCAAAUCCCUACAGAGACCAGGAAGGCAGCAUGGAUGAGUGCAGAAAGCUACAUUUGUUUCAGAAAGGAAUCAGUGUAUAUUCUUUCAGCAGACACAUUUAGUUUGUUUCUUAUAAGCCACUAGAAGAGUCAUUACUUUCACAAAGUCAUAUGCUUAUUCCCAUUUUUCAUAAAAUAUGGCCUAUCUUCAGUUUUCCCAGUUUUGAUACAGAAAAAAAUAUAAGAAAGAUUUUCUAUUUCCUAUAACUAUAAAAGCCCACUAAUAGCACCAGCACAGCCACCCCUGGGCUUCACACAGGGAGUGGCAGGAGCUGUGCAGAUGGAGAGUGCAUACUGGUGUGAAGGGGGCAAUGGAUCUCAGCUCCAGCCAUUGUCUUCAUGCAGGAAUUUGGGACCAUUUUACCGGAUCCUCCCAUUUCUUCAAGAGAAGCCGGAAAUCUGGAUUUCUAUGUGAAAUCUCCCACUUUUUUAUGCUGGCAACUAAUUUUCUUUAAACACUGUGCCAAACAAAACAUACCUGCAGGCCAAAAUCUACACCCUCUGGGCUGGAUUUCAAUGUCUCUUAAACUCUCAACAGAGAGCAUCUUACUGUUUCAGUUCAGGGUAGAUGUCUACCCAUGGUCCCAUCGAGUGGGGUCUGGAUAUGGAAUCAGCUAGAAGAAGCAUAGUCUAUGCCCAUUCUUUCAGCAGGGACUGUGGGCAGGAAACCAUUUCCAAAGAAGCAGGCAUGAGUUGGUGGCCAUACAAAUAUAUAUGUUAUAUUGAUAAAUAUAAAAACAGGAGAUUCUGGGGGACCACAAGUUUUUACAAAUUAGGCUUAUUUUAGGAUAAAUUCACCCUUGUUAGUGUGCAGUUCUGUGAGUUUUGAUAUACAUAUGCAGUCAAGUAACCACUCCCACAAUUAAGAUACAGAAUAAUUCCAUCACCCCCCAAAUUUCUUGUAUGCCCCUUUAUAGCUAGCCCCUGACCCUAACCUCUGGCAAUCACUAAUAUAUUCUCUUUUUCUAUAGGCUUGCUUUUUUUCAAAAUGUCAUAUACAUGGAAUCACACAGUUUAUAGCCUUUUGAGUCUGGCUUAUUUUACUCAGCAUAAUGCCUUUGAGCUUUAACCAUGUAAUUUCAUGUAUCAGUAGUUCAUUCCUAUGUAUUGCUAAGUAAUUUUCCACUGUAUAGAUGCACCACAGUUUGUUUAUCCAUUCACCAAUUAAAGCCAUAAUCAACUUCCAUGUAGAAGUUUGUGUGUGAACACAGUUUUAAUUUAUUUGGGGUUACUACCUAGGAGUGAGAUUCUGGGUCUUAUGGUAAGCAUACAUUUUACUAAGAAACUAUAAAACUCUUUUCCAAAGUGGCUGAACCAUUUGACAUUUCUAACAGCAAUAUUUGAAAGUUCCCAUUGCUCUGUAUCCUCUCCAGUACUUACAUGCUCAGCAUUUUGGUUUGGUCUGGUUUCAUUGUUUCUGAGCUCUUCUGAUAGAUGUGGAGUACACCCCCAUUUUGGAUGAAUUGUGCCAAAUGUGUAGACCAUCCUCAAAAUCUAAGGUCUCAGUAAAAACAAUUAAACAUGAUUUCUGAUAUAAUGUCUUAUCCUUGAAAACCCUGACCCAUCCAUCUUCAGCACAUUCACAUGUGUAAUAAGGUAAGUGAUUUUUAAUUCCACCAGGUUUAAAGACCCCUGACGUGACUUAUUGCCAUUCUGCUACUGAGCCUUGAGAGAUUAUGGUAAGUGCCAAGAAAAAAAAAAUGACUUUGAACUGCUCUUUCACCAGUUAAAAAUAACACUGAAACCAAAUGUAAACAUAAAAGAAGUGGUCAGAUUCGGGUUACAUAUUAACGGUGUUUGGUCAGGCUGGAGCUGAGGCACAGCAGCAGAGAAUGCCUUUUACUUAUCACUGUUUCCAAACCUCCCUACCUGGACUAGGCUUGACUGGAUUUACAAGAGACCUUUUGAAAAGAUGCAGAGAAGGCAAGCAGCACACAUUUCCUGGUAAUAAAUUUUAAAGGUUGCUAAAACAUUCCAGAGAUUUUCACUCAACAUUCCUCUGGCCAACACAUCUGCAAUCUGCCAAUCCUUAAAAAUAGGUGUUUUUGCAUUUUAAUCUCACAAACAUCUUUGAAAAUGCAUUUCUUCUCUGCCCCUGUGUUGGACAAAUCCAGCUUUUUCCAUUUUCUAAAAACCACAGAAAUAUAAUGCUGCUUAAUUCAUACAAGACUGAGCUAACUGGAGUUAAAAUAAAAUUUCUGAGAGUUUGUUUGGCUCACUCUUCCCUACCAGAUGAUUCCAUUCUUAAAACGGUCCUGUGAUUAUAUUCUCUCAUUACAGAGGUGUCCAGAAAAAAAAUAAGGAGUGCAGUUCUGAAAUUAUAUAAAAGCAAAAUUAUUACUCUAAACGUAAGAGCUGUGAUAGAUCGUGUCAUUGACCAUGGUUCUUUUCCCCUGACACACACGUCCCCACCACCCACCCACUGUAUCCAUAUGCCUUUUGCCAUAUGACUUUGCAGCUCUCCCCACUAAAGGGGCAGCCAUGCGAUUUGCUUUGGCCAAUGAAAUGAGGCAGUAGUGGUGGUAUCCUAGUUCUGAGCCUAGGUCUCAAGAAGUCUUAUGUGUUUCUGCUUAUCCUCUUAUACCUCUGCCAUCACCAUGAGCCAAACAUCCCCCAAGUAGCCCACUGGUCCCAGGACAAGGAGGGAGACAUGAAGCAGAGCUCAUCCAGCUGCUGCAGCCCCACUUGACCCAGAGACCUACACUGGGAAGCAGAGCUGCCCAGUCAAGUCCAACCUGGAUGUGUGGAACCCCAGCCAACCUGAUGCAUGAGCACUCACGGCAUUGGAAGACAUCAUAAACAUUAAUGGAGAGCGGGAUGCCAGAAUAAGUUGAUCCAAAUGAUGCAGGAAUAUUUAGCAGCAAGGAGAAAGGAAUUCACAUUUCUCAGUACCCACUAUGUGCCAUACUUUGUGAUAAGAUGGUUUCCCUCCAAUAUAUCCUCAUUGUCAGCAAUGUCGGGAAACAGGAAUCAUUUCCCCUUCUACAGGUGAUAAAACUGAAGCAAGAAACAUACAGGCUAACAUCAGCUGAGCUGAGAUUUGAACUCCACUCUUUUUGACCCUGGAGCUGAUGAAUGCUGCUUCUAGAGGUUGAGUAUCCCUUAUCCGAAAUCCUUGGAACCAGGAGAUUUUUGGAUUUGGGAAUAUUUGCAUAUACAUAAUGAGAUAUCUUGGAGAUGGGACCCAAGUCUAAAUACAAAAUUAUUUUGUUGUAUAUACACCUUGUACACAUAGACUGAAGAUAAUUUUAUACAAUAUUUUAAAUAAUUUUGUGCGUGAAACAAAGUUGUGACUAUGUCUUGACUGUAAGACAUCUUGCAUGCAACCCAUCAUAUGAGGUCAGGUGCAGAAUUUUCCAUUUGUGGUGUCAUGUUAGUGCUCAAAAAUUUUCGGAUUUUGGAGCACUUCAGACUUUCGUUUUCCAGACGGGGGAUGCUCAACCUGUCUUAGAACCUGUGGUCUCCCAUCAUGCCUCCCUUCCCCAUUCCCUUGCUCCACUGGGGUCUGAGGUGGGAAAGCAAAAGGAGUUGCAGGUAACCCUCACUUUUCACACCAGGCAAUCUCUCCCCACAAUCUGUCACAUUCCUGAAGAACAAGGAAGCAGAGCACUCCACUGAAGAAAUUCUGUUAAAAUCUAUCCCCAACGUAUAAGCAUCCAUCUUUGUCCCAGUCUGGGUCUAACAUGAACAAAGUGCUUAAACAAUUCAGUAGAGGAGAAAGGGAACUUGGAGCAGCUCUGUCACCCUGAAGUGACACUGCCAUGCUGCAUUUCCUGUCUGUAAUAUCUCUUCAGAGCAAUUGUUUUCUUCUGUGAGGACACUUCAGAGAUUCACAGAGACAGAUGCUCUUGUGACUGACCAUAGCAAGUAUCAAAAGGCCUGGGUGGAAUUACGAAGCAUUUCUCGUGCACUGCGUAUUGGGAAGUGCUUCACAGCUGUGUGGCAGAUGUGAGUGGACAGAGGGGCAAGGGAACUGCCCCAAAGGAGGUGGCAGAGGAAGCAACAAGCCAGGGAUUGGCUGGCCGGUCCCAGCACAGCAACUGCAGCAGCAGCUUGCUAAGUUUCACAGGUGAAGCCAAAGGCUGGGGGGAAUGGAAAACAAAUAUCACUCCAUUAAAUUAAGGUCUGAGGAAAACAUGAUGAGGAAAGUCAAUAGUGAAUCAAAACAUUGAAAAGCCACUAACUUUGACUUUCCAUGUGCGUGUGCAAGUUCACGUGUGCAUGUGUGUCUGCAUGUCCAAGUUCUACACUGAUUCAAGAAAUAAUUAUAGAGGGCCUGCCAUAGGAUGGUGAGCAAAACAGUCUUGGCCUCUGUCCUGAUGGAGCAUGCAGUAUCACAGACUCUAUAUGUUCUAUUUCUAGGCCUUGUAUUUUGAGGAUAUAUGCCAGUGGAAUGAGAAUGGCUCUGUGACCUUGUUUAAGUCCCACCACUGUCUCAGGCAGGGUUUUCCAAAGUGUAGUCCUUAUACUAUUAUGUGGUGAAGAUGCUUAAUUGUUUUGUAAUUAUUUAAUGUGCGUAGGUAUCACAUCAAACCCAGUAUUUUCAAGGAUUUUUAUAGCUUAAGACAAGGCUUGUUAUAGGCAAGGUGGAUCAAUUCAAAAAAUAUAUGCUAACAAAAUAAUAGUGGAGGUGGUACAAAGAAACAGCAAAGGUAGUGAGAUGGCUUCACUGGUGUUUGUGAAUCACCAAGAUAAUGCACGUGGAAAUAAAAAUCAGUGUGGUCCAUAGAAAUACAAGGGGUUCUAAUUACCCCUCAGUGAGCACUUGCUCUCUCACUCACCCCAGCAAUGACAUAUUAAGCAAAGCACUGCCCUGACUGCAUAUGCUCUUGCCGACAACUUGGCCAGCAUUCAGAAGACACUAAGUGUGCUCUGGGAACUUCAGAAGGCACUAACAUUCCAUGGAGAACUUCACAAAGAGUGAGACCUAGUCCCUGGCCUAAAGAGAGUAUAAUUUAGUAGGAAAGAGAAGACAAACACACAAAUAACUGUAAAAUGGGAUAAGCCCCAAAGUGGAGGUACAAAGUCCCAUAGAAGAGGCUCAAUGAUAAGUCACGCCUGCCGGGUAAGGUCAAGAAAGACUUCAUGGAGAUUUGAGAUGGCAUCUGAGAUAAGCCAGGAAAGACGGUAGAAUUUCAACAACCAAAAAAGUGGGGAGAGGGAUGGGAGGCAUUCCAGAGAAGGAGAAAUGCUUGAGCAAUGGUACAGAGACCAGGAAGUUAUAUGAGGGCAGAAAGUCCCUGCUGUCUAUUUAGCUGGGAUAUAGAAUGCAAGUCAGUUAGAUGAUUAGGUGGGGUUAUAACAUAACUAGCCUUAAAUAGUGGACUGAGAAUUUUCCACUUAAUUUAAUGCAAAUGGCAGGGGAGGGGGCAGGCAAUGGAGAGCUGAAAACAGGACUGGAGAUGCGCUGGAGGGAAGUAACCCUGGAAAUGGGUGAAGUACGGGUUACUGUCACCCCAGCUCUGGUUCUUGUUAUUCCCUAGGAGAAGCAUAAUAGAAGUGUGAAUUUAGGGUAGCCAAAUGAUGACUUUGCAGAGGGAAUCUUUAGGACUUGUGACUUGAUUAAAAGCAGGGAGAUGGAUAGGGAACGUCCAAGGAUAACUAGAUAACUAGAGCUCUCCUGUUCCUCUGACUCAUGUGUGCUGAAACUGUAGAGUCAAACAAACACUUGUAAGUGGCGUGAUGUAAAUCCCUUAGGGGCCCAUGCCUGCCUCAAGAGAAGAACGUGUGGUCAGGAAAAACGACCGGGGGAAGUGAAAACGACACAAGACCCAGAGGAUAACCCUUAUUUUAUUCACACAUGCAAAUUUAGGCACAGCAAAAAGCAAAACGAAGUAUACCAAAUGUCAAGGGUUAAUUAUUAAUCAUUUCUAUAUUAAAUUAUGAGUUUUUCAGUAAGACACUUUUUGAUAAGAAACUUGAAUUACGUUCAUAACCAUCAAAAUAAAGAAAAUAAAAGAGACAGAUUUUCUUUGGUGGUGGGAGAACAUUAAGUAUUGUGGAAGCCUGAAAAAUGGUCCCCAAAAGAAUCUGGUCCUAAUCCUUAGAACUUGUGAGUAUUAUCUUACUUGGAAAAAGGGUUGUUUUAAGAUAAGGAUCUUGAGUUGGGAAGAUUGUCCUGAGUUAUUCAGGUAGGCUGUAAAUGCCAUCACAGGCAACCUUUUUACAUGGAUAUUUGACACAGAGUGGAGGAGACACCCAUAGGAGAAGGCUAUGUGAAGACAUAGCAUCGAGACACUUGAAGAUAUUGGCCUUCAAAUGGCACAGCCACAAGCAAAGGAAUGCCAGCAGCCACCAGGAAAAAGCAAAGAAUGGAUUCUCACCUAAAGUCUCCAGAGGGACUGUAGAGUAUCCUGCCAACACCUUGAUUUUGACUCUGUGAAACUGAUGUCAGGCUUCUGGCCUCCAGAACUGUGAGAGAAGAAAUUUCUGUUGUUUUAAACCUUCGAAUUUGUGGUAAUGUGUUAGAGCAGCCACAGGAAACUCAUAUUCUAAACUAGCAACUAUGAAAUGAGAAUUUCUAGUGUUCAGCUAAGAUACCACCGCAGAAGCAGCUGGAUAAUAUCAGAUGAGCCGAAAACUUCUCUUACCCCAUUUCCUUAUCCAUAAAAUUAGCAAAUAAUACCUGUCUUGCAGAGUUAAUUUUAAAGUUAUACAAGUAAAUACACUUUGAAAGUGACAAGUACUAGAAAAAUGUAGGGAAUUAUCCUACAAGUCUGGGUAUCCCCACCACCCAAGGCACAUGAAUGAUGCACAAUAAAAUAUACAAUUGGUUAGAAAUAGAACAAAGUGUUGAAAGUGCUUCAAAGCUCGAAAUGUAGGGCAUGAGGAAUGAAGGAAAUUCAGUUCAGGAAUAAAAUAUUUAUUCAGCAUCACUAAUAAGCCAGGCACUCUGCCAGAACCCAAAGGUAUAAAGAGGAACAAAUGAUAAUUCCUGCCCUGUGGAUGGCUUAUAGUCUAGGGUAGCAUUUUUACAGUGUGUUCACAGACCACUAAGCUCUCAAAUUUCUAUUUAAAGAUGCCAAAGGACCCAAGAUCAAGUGCUAUAUUCUAAUAUCUACCCUCUCCAUUUCCUACCCCCUCCCACAACCACACUUUCUGUAGACUCACAAUGUGUUAGUUAAUUUAAGGCAUUGAGUCCUGUUGUUAAUAAGCUGACUUGCCCUUAAUUAUCACAGGCUUUUCCAAAUUUCCUUGACAUGCACUAACCAUUUAACCUUGGGGAAAAGAAUGGAAUAACAUUCUUGCCUGCCUGUUGUAGCUGUCAUCAUAUUUAAAUGUAAUAAAACAUGGAAAGUGUUUAAUAAUUAUGGUGCUCUAGGCAAAAUAGCAGUCCUUCAAAAAUGCCCAUGCCCUAAUCUCCAGAACCUGUGAAUAUGUUACCUGACAUUGUAAAGCAACCUUGUAGGUGUGAUUAAAGUUACAAGCUCUGAGAAGAGAAAAUUACUCUGGAUUAUCUGGGUGGGCCCAGCUUAAUCAUAUGAACCCUUAAAAGUGGAGAAUGUUUUCCAGCUAAGGUCAGAGAAAGAGACUUGACAAAGGAAGAAGGGUCAUAGGGAUGUGAUACCGCUAGCUUUAGAGAUGAAGGAAGAGGACCACAGCCAAGAAAUGUGGGUAGCCUCUGAACACAAUACAAGGCAAGGACACGGGCUCUCUCCUUGAGCCUCUAGAAGGAGCACAGCCAUAAGGCAUUCUUAAACUAUGUCGCUUACCUUACCUACCUCAUCCACUUACUACUUGUAUGGCUAAUGGCAUGAGGAAGUCACUAAAACUCUCCGAGCCUUCCUGGCCUCCACUUAAAUGGGAGUGGUACCCACAGAGGGUCAGGAGGCUCAAUCAAAUCUCAAAUUCAUUAUCUCUUGCUUCUCAUGCACAAGUCAGUGUCAGCAGGAGGCAUCAGUGCUUCUGCAAAAAUAACUAAUUCAACAUUACUUUGUCAGAUCACAACCCUUCUUUGCUAAAACCUUCCAGAGGCUCCCUGUCUCACUCACAGAACAACCUCAUGGACUUCCUCUGUUCUCAGGAUUCUCAUGACACAAUAUGACCCCAUUUCCUCUGACUAUAGGUCCUUCCUCUCUCCCCCUUCCUGAUGGUGCUCCAGCCAUACUGGCCACCUUGCUGUUCCUGAGGCACACCAGGCAGCUUCCAGCCUCAGGACAUUUGCACUUGCUGUUUUCUCUGCUUAGAGCCCUCUUCCCCCAUAUCCACAUAGCUUGCUCCCUCAACUCCUUUAGAUCUUCAUUCGGCUAUUACCUUCUUCCUGAGGCCUUCCCUAACAACCCUAUGAAAAUUGCAAUACCUGCCAGCCAAACAUUCCCCAUCCUCCCUUCACUUUAAUUUCCGCCAUAGUAAUUUCAUCUUCUCACAUGCUGCAUAUUUAACUGUUUUGUUUACUUUCUUUCCUCCAUUGGAAUAUAAGCUCUAUCAGGGCUUUUCAUGAAGGACAUGCAAGUAGAUGCUUGAUAAAUAUUUGUUGGAUAAAUAAAUCAGUGCAUAUACCAAUCUGAAGUCACAAAAUCAAUAUGAGCAUCACCUUCCACUAAAGACAUAUCCUUUCAGUUAUCGAUGAAAAAUGAAGUUGAAAACACAAUAAUCAGCCUGUCAUUGAACAAUGCAGCUGCAGCUAAGAUCAAGUUCUUGACUGACUUUGCCGAGCCCAACCAAUUCAAAGGAAGAAUAAAAACAUGGUCAAGGGACCCAAGACCCAGCUCUUAUCCCCUACUCAGAGAAAACCCAGAGAGAACCAGCCUUCUGAUGUCUUGUCCUUCCUGGUUUUGACCAACCUCUAAAAACCAUAAGAACAGUUUGUCUCAGUAUUUCAGUACUUCCGCUUCCAGGCCCAGGAAAGAGCAGGAAGUGCAGGGGCGUGUGAAAAUCAAGAAAAAAGAAGAAUUAAACCCGCUACACAUGAAGCGCUCAAAGACUUCCUCUGUAACCUGUUGCAGCACACGAGUUUCAAUGUGCUUUCACUGAGAGCCCAGGGGGACUGUGCUGUCCCCAGAAUUUCGCACCAUGCCCCACACUCUCAAUGAACACUUGUUGCCUAAAAAAAAAAAAUUAAAUUUUAAGACCUUCAGUUUCUCUAUUU